rnacentral:lncRNA from 1 species
GAUAGUUGGCUGGAGUGCCUGCCUGCCUUCUAAUUUCUUUUUCUUCUGACAGUGCUAGUCAUUGCGUGUGUGCAUCAUGUGUGUGCAUGGCGCGUUUGGUGUGAGUGACAGUGUAGAAAUUUGCACGUCACUGCAACAUGAUAUACUCUAUUGCAAAAAAAAAUAUGCAGCUAUCAGUAGUGGCAAGUUUAGUCCUUGCAUUUUUGCAAUAGGGUGCACAUUUAUAACAGUAUGGCACCAAUUAUUUGGUAAGUCAAGGUCCUGUAUUUGCAGCAAGGCAACAGCUGUGCAAAUUGCACCAUUUUGAAACAAUAAGCUCGCUCAUUUGGGCUAUUUGAUUACAUUGACAAUCAUUGUUUAUAGUUUCUGCAUGAUUUCUUUGUUAAACUGCUCCAAAUUUGGAAUUGUGUGCUUCAAAAUGUAGUUGCCUCGUAACCUGCGCUAAAUGCUAAUUCAGCUGUUGCACCCCUGAUUAUAUUGAUGUCACUGCAAAAAGAGCAGCUGCAGUUGAAUGAAAUGGGAGAAGCAAUUUAUAAUGGUUUCUCAUAUACAAUGCAGGGGCUGCUUUAGGAGUACAUAGAUGGUGCCAGUUUCAUUAUGCUGUAGUGGUCAGCAUAAACAAACUAGUUUGCAGUCUUAAAAGUAAUUUACCUAUCUUUGAUGCAAACGUUUUCCUCUUUAUUUUAACUAUGCCAUAUUGCUCUUUUUACUCUCAUUGUAGGAGUAUUGAGGUGUGCAGAGGAAAUUUCAUUUACGAAAGCUGGUCUAAAUGUGGCCUAAUGCUUGUUUGAUUGAUGAAACCUAAAUGUAUAUUUUGGCUUGGAUCAGUUCUCCCAGCACCUUUAAUGCAGUACACUGUCUUACGUUGCUUGUCAGAUAUCCGUGCCAUUGCUAAUAGUGUCACUGAGAUUUUUGGCUGCAGCAUCUGCAUGCUGCUAAUGUUCCAGGGCAAUUUAAAUGAUCGAAAUAUUUCAUGCCACUAUGGGCUGACAGCAACAUGCCAAGUUGAACUUGGCCUGCUUGAAGUACUUGCUCUGCCAGUGCACGUUAGGUGGUGUGCAAGCAAUUCAACAACCAAUAAGCUAUAAAAGUGCAUGCCUGCACUCAUUACUAGGUUGUUUGUUUUUUUGUCGGCAUUGUGCAAUGGUUUUCCUUCUCUGGACUGAUUUAGUUGGGCAGACUUGGGGCAUGUUUUGAUGUUAGUGCAUGUGCUUCAGUCUUCAAUGUUUUUACUGCUAUUGUAUUGUGAAAGCAGCAUAACCUGGGUGCUGCUUUGUGCAUAAUUAAUUGAAUUGUGGCUGGGACUUGCUUCUUUGCAUUUUCGUUUUGGUCCUGCAUAAGCAGGCAUCGCUUCUGUAGAUGUGGCCAGUUGUUUCUGUGUAGACUUUUCUCCGUGUGCAUACUUGUUUGCUUGUGUGAACUGAAAGCAUGCUGGCACUGUUUCCUACUCUGUUCAGUCCUCUGUGAUCUGGCUUCUAUGAUCUAACCUCUAGUUAGUUGCUUGGAUUUAUUGCUUCCUUGUAGCAAUGUGCAUGGCUGUCUACUUUCUCUCUUUCACUAAGGCACUGUAAAACCAGCGUUUUCACCAAUGCUGUAAGAAUUAACAUUCAAGAUUUUAAGAUAUUUCUUUGAAGAGGCCAAUGCAAAUGGCAUAUUACCAUUCCAUUGAAAAGUGGGCCAAUGCAAACUGCACAUUACUUCAGCACUGUUGGCCAUUUGUCACAGGUUCAGUGCUAAGUGCUGUGAAGUGCUGUGAAUGAAAUGUGACUGAUGAAGAAACUUUUCUAGGAUUCAUGUCCUGUGGAGUCCAUUCAAUGAAUGCAAUAAGUCCACAAUGAAACUGACGUGGACUAUGCCAGUGCAAUGAAACCUGCCUGUGCCUGACAUGGUUGACUCGCCAUAACUUUAAUCUUUACAGUUUUAUUAUUGAAGGGCCAAGUCUCCGCUGCUUGGACGGCAAGGUGCAUGGUGAAGAUUAGACAUUGAAGACAACCACUACAUCACCAUAACCACCACCACCACCACAUCUGUGACUAGCGUUCCUUGUUUUCAUCGGCGCCAUUUGUUUGUUUCAGUCUUCAUUCAAUUUCACAUUGACCACUGCAUGCACUGAACGCAAAUGCCAUUGCAUGGCGUUUUCAUGCUUGGCGUCAUCCAUGUGGUGUUAUUAAAGGACUAAAUAAGAACUGGUA